rnacentral:rRNA from 1 species
AUUGAACGCUGGCGGCAGGCCUAACACAUGCAAGUCGAGCGGUUGAAGCGAGCCUGCUCCUGGAUUCAGCGGCGGACGGGUGUGAAAUGUCUAGGAAUCUGCCUGGUAGUGGGGGAUAACGUCCGGAAACGGGCGCUAUUACCGCAUACGUCCUGAGCGGGAAAGUGGGGGAUCUUCGGACCUCACGCUCUCAGAUGAGCCUAGGUCGGAUUAGCUAGUUGGUGGGGGAAAGGCCUACCAAGGCGACGAUCCGUAACUGGUCUGAGAGGAGGAUCAGUCACACUGGAACGGAGACACGGUCCAGACUCCUACGGGAGGCAGCAGUGGGGAAUAUUGGACAAUGGGCGAAAGCCUGAUCCAGCCAUGCCGCGUGUGUGAAGAAGGUCUUCGGAUUGUAAAGCACUUUAAGUUGGGAGGAAGGGCAGUAAGUUAAUACCUUGCUGUUUUGACGGUACCAGCAGAAUAAGCACCGGCUAACUACGUG